AUUGAACGCUGGCGGCAGGCUUAACACAUGCAAGUCGAGCGAGCGGCGGACGGGUGAGUAAUGUCUGGGAACCUGCCUGCUGGAGGGGGAUAACUACUGGAAACGGUAGCUAAUACCGCAUACCAUCAGAUGUGCGCAGAUGGGAUUAGCUAUUAGGUGGGGUGAUGGCUCACCUCGGCGACGAUCCCUAGCUGGUCUGCGAGGAUGACCAGCCACACGGGAAAUGAGACACGUGACAGACGCCUACGGGAGGCAGCAGUGGGGAAAAUUGCACAAUGGGCGCAAGCCUGAUGAAGCCAUGCCGGGUGUGUGAAGAAGGCCUUCGAGGUGUAAAGCACUUUCAGCGAGGAGGCGUUACGCGCAGAAGAAGCACCGGCUAACUCCGUGCCAGCAGCCGCGGUAAUUC
rnacentral:rRNA from 1 species